GCUGACUCUCCCACGCUUCCUUCACUUCAUUCACUCCCGAAGCUUCCACAUCAAUGCCAAUAUAGUGACCAAUUUGAGCUUCAUCCCACUUCUCCACAUCAGGUACUUUUCCACAAUACAUAUCACAUACAGUGGCAUAUGGGGAGACGAAGAUACCGAUAAGCACAUUUUUGACGAAAUCGAGAAGUCGAUGGUGAGUUGACUCGGCAGGUCUGUGAAUCGGGAAUGAAUUCGCCAUCAUCAUCAUCGCCUCUAAAACCCACACAAAA
rnacentral:misc_RNA from 1 species